rnacentral:rRNA from 1 species
UACGUAGGGUGCAAGCGUUAUCCGGAAUCACUGGGCGUAAAGCGUGCGUAGGUGGCGCGUUAAGUGAGAUGUUAAAUCGUGUGGCUCAACCAUAUCGAUGCAUCUCAUACUGGCGUGCUAGAGGACGGCAGAGGCAAGUGGAAUUGGUAGUGUAGCAGUGAAAUGCGUAGAUAUUACCAGGAACACCAAUGGCGAAGGCAGCUCUCUGGGACGGUACUGACACUGAGACGCGAAAGCGUGGGGAGCAAACAGG